AGACCGUCAGUCUUGUGAUCUGCAGUCGAGGGAUGUGGCUGCACCAGAAUGUGGCAGUUAACAGAGGUCCCAAGUGCAGGCGAUUCGCAUGUGCCAUCGGUGGUCUUGAGGAGCUUCUGCUGCUGAGCAACCUGUAUGGAGACGGGGUCCAACCAUCAGUCAACUAGUCACCACGAAAGAAGCCUGUGUCAUCAAAGGCACGGUUCUAGGUGAUAUGCUGCAAGACCAUAUCUGUGAUUUUGUACCAGAUGCUUGAAAUGGAAAGAAAGCCACCUGCUGGCAAAAUGAAAUUAUCUAACAGAUCCUAA